rnacentral:rRNA from 1 species
CAGCUAGUUGGUGAGGUAAUGGCCCACCAAGGCGAAGAUCGGUAUCCGGCCUGAGAGGGCGCACGGACACACUGGAACUGAAACACGGUCCAGACUCCUACGGGAGGCAGCAGUGGGGAAUUUUGCGCAAUGGGGGAAACCCUGACGCAGCAACGCCGCGUGGAGGAUGAAGCCCCUUGGGGUGUAAACUCCUUUCGACCGGGAAAAUAAUGAUGGUACCGGUGGAAGAAGCACCGGCUAACUCUGUGCCAGCAGCCGCGGUAAUACAGAGGGUGCGAGCGUUGUUCGGAAUUAUUGGGCGUAAAGGGCGCGUACGCGGUGUUGUAAGUCACCUGUGAAACCUCUGGGCUUAACCUCGAGCCCUGC